rnacentral:rRNA from 1 species
GACGAACGCUGGCGGCGUGCUUAAUACAUGCAAGUCGAACGGAAAGGCCCUGCUUUUGUGGGGUGCUCGAGUGGCGAACGGGUGAGUAACACGUGAGUAACCUGCCCUUGACUUUGGGAUAACUUCAGGAAACUGGGGCUAAUACCGGAUAGGAGCUCCUGCUGCAUGGUGGGGGUUGGAAAGUUUCGGCGGUUGGGGAUGGACUCGCGGCUUAUCAGCUUGUUGGUGGGGUAGUGGCUUACCAAGGCUUUGACGGGUAGCCGGCCUGAGAGGGUGACCGGCCACAUUGGGACUGAGAUACGGCCCAGACUCCUACGGGAGGCAUCAGUGGGGAAUAUUGCACAAUGGGCGGAAGCCUGAUGCAGCAACGCCGCGUGCGGGAUGACGGCCUUCGGGUUGUAAACCGCUUUCGCCUGUGACGAAGCGUGAGUGACGGUAAUGGGUAAAGAAGCACCGGCUAACUACGUG